AGGGAUGCUUUUACAUAUGUGCAAGAGAGAAGAUUUUGUAUAAAUCCCAAUGCUGGAUUUGUUCAUCAGCUUCAGGAGUAUGAAGCUAUCUAUUUAGCAAAAUUGACCAUCAAGAUGAUGUCGCCAUUACAGCUAGGAAGAUCUUUAUCUCUUCAGGGUAGUACAACAGGUAGUUUAAAAAGAACAUUUGAAGAUGAUGAAGAUUUUGGAAACAUGCAAGUUGCUGCUGCACAUGAUGGAUAGUUACACAUUGUUUAAGAAUGGACAAAAUUCAUAACAGGAGGAGUACAAAUGAAUGGGAACAAUUUGAUGAAAACGAUUAAAUCUGAAACUGCAGAUAACCCUCUUUGCAAUAUACCUGAAUUUAUAGAGGUGUUCAUGCUUAAAAUGAGCGGAAAAGUGGCAUUAAGGGAUGUGCAAGACGAUGGUUGAUCUCAUGGCACUGAUUGUUUUACUUUUACUUUUUUUACAUUUUACAUUUUUAUGAUAAUUAAACUGUUUGAAUAUGCAGAGGGAUAUUAUUGCAAUAAUGCACUUUUCAUACUUGAACUUUCAUUGUAUUUGUAUGAUAGGAAAUUACUACCAUAAAAGAACUUAAAGAAACUGUGAGGUUUUGUUAAAAAUUCACAGCAAUGUAAUUUAUAAUGCACAGUUUUCAGUAAAAAAAAUGUACAGUAUUAAACUAUAUUAGUUUUUGCAUCUUUAA